AUUGAACGCUGGCGGCAGGCCUAACACAUGCAAGUCGAGCGGAUGAAGGGAGCUUGCUCCUGGAUUCAGCGGCGGACGGGUGAGUAAUGCCUAGGAAUCUGCCUGGUAGUGGGGGAUAACGUCCGGAAACGGGCGCUAAUACCGCAUACGUCCUGAGGGAGAAAGAGGGGGAUCUUCGGACCUCACGCUAUCAGAUGAGCCUAGGUCGGAUUAGCUAGUUGGUGGGGUAAAGGCCUACCAAGGCGACGAUCCGUAACUGGUCUGAGAGGAUGAUCAGUCACACUGGAACUGAGACACGGUCCAGACGCCUACGGGAGGCAGCAGUGGGGAAUAUUAGACAAUGGGCGAAAGCCUGAUCCAGCCAGGCCGCGUGUGUGAAGAAGGUCCUCGGAGUGUAAAGCACGUUAAGUUGGGAGGAAGGGCAGUAAGUUAAUACCAUGCGGUUUUGACGUUACCAACAGAAGAAGCACCGGCUAACUUCGUG
rnacentral:rRNA from 1 species